CCUACGGGAGGCAGCAGUGAGGAAUAUUGGUCAAUGGACGCAAGUCUGAACCAGCCAUGCCGCGUGCAGGAAGACGGCUCUAUGAGUUGUAAACUUCUUUUGUACGGGGGUAAACGCAGAUACGCGUAUCUGUCUGAAAGUAUCGUACGAAUAAGGAUUGGCUAACUCCGUGCCAGCAGCCGCGGUAAUACGGAGGAUUCAAGCGUUAUCCGGAUUUAUUGGGUUUAAAGGGUGCGUAGGUGGUCUGAUAAGUUAGAGGUGAAAGCCCGAGGCUCAACCUCGGAAUUGCCUCUGAUACUGUUCGGCUAGAGAGCAGUAGCGGUAGGCGGAAUGUAUGGUGUAGCAGUGAAAUGCUUAGAGAUCAUACAGAACACCGAUUGCGAAGGCAGCUUACCAAGCUACUACUGACGUUGAGGCACGAAAGCGUGGGGAGCAAACAGGAUUAGAUACCCGGGUAGUC
rnacentral:rRNA from 1 species